rnacentral:rRNA from 1 species
UACGAAGGGUGCAAGCGUUACUCGGAAUUACUGGGCGUAAAGCGUGCGUAGGUGGUUUGUUAAGUCUGAUGUGAAAGCCCUGGGCUCAACCUGGGAACUGCAUUGGAAACUGGCUGACUAGAGUGCGGUAGAGGGGUGUGGAAUUCCCGGUGUAGCAGUGAAAUGCGUAGAUAUCGGGAGGAACAUCUGUGGCGAAGGCGGCCCACUGGCUCGAUACUGACGCUGAGGUGCGAAAGCGUGGGGAGCAAACAGG